rnacentral:piRNA from 1 species
UAAAAAGUGCAGGUUCUGAUCAGUGUCUA